rnacentral:rRNA from 1 species
AGAUUGAACGCUGGCGGCAUGCCUUACACAUGCAAGUCGAACGGCAGCACGGGAGCAAUCCUGGUGGCGAGUGGCGAACGGGUGAGUAAUACAUCGGAACGUGCCCAAUCGUGGGGGAUAACGCAGCGAAAGCUGUGCUAAUACCGCAUAAGAUCUACGGAUGAAAGCAGGGGAUCGCAAGACCUUGCGCGAAUGGAGCGGCCGAUGGCAGAUUAGGUAGUUGGUGAGGUAAAGGCUCACCAAGCCUUCGAUCUGUAGCUGGUCUGAGAGGACGACCAGCCACACUGGGACUGAGACACGGCCCAGACUCCUACGGGAGGCAGCAGUGGGAAUUUGGACAGUGGGCGAAAGCCUGACUCCAGCCAUGCCGCGUGCAGGAUGAGGCCUUGGUUAGUAACUGUACUUUGUAACGGUACGAAAGUCUCGUUUACUAAUAAGAGG